CCUGUAAGACUGGGAUAACUCCGGGAAACCGGAGCUAAUACCGGAUAGUUCCUUGAACCGCAUGGUUCAAGGAUGAAAGACGGUUUCGGCUGUCACUUACAGAUGGACCCGCGGCGCAUUAGCUAGUUGGUGAGGUAACGGCUCACCAAGGCGACGAUGCGUAGCCGACCUGAGAGGGUGAUCGGCCACACUGGGACUGAGACACGGCCCAGACUCCUACGGGAGGCAGCAGUAGGGAAUCUUCCGCAAUGGACGAAAGUCUGACGGAGCAACGCCGCGUGAGUGAUGAAGGUUUUCGGAUCGUAAAGCUCUGUUGUUAGGGAAGAACAAGUGCAAGAGUAACUGCUUGCACCUUGACGGUACCUAACCAGAAAGCCACGGCUAACUACGUGCCAGCAGCCGCGGUAAUACGUAGGUGGCAAGCGUUGUCCGGAAUUAUUGGGCGUAAAGGGCUCGCAGGCGGUUUCUUAAGUCUGAUGUGAAAGCCCCCGGCUCAACCGGGGAGGGUCAUUGGAAACUGGGAAACUUGAGUGCAAAAGAGGAGAAUGGAAUUCCACGUGUAGCGAUGAAAUGAGUAGAGAUGUGGAGGAACACCAGUCGCCGAAGGAGACUCUCCGGUCCGGAACUGACGGCUGAGGAGCCGAAAGCGUGCGGAGCGAACAGGAUUAGAUACCCUGGUAGUCCACGCCGUAAACGAUGAGUGCUAAGUGUUAGGGGGUUUCCGCCCCUUAGUGCUGCAGCUAACGCAUUAAGCACUCCGCCUGGGGAGUACGGUCGCAAGACUGAAACUCAAAGGAAUUGACGGGGGCCCGCACAAGCGGUGGAGCAUGUGGUUUAAUUCGAAGCAACGCGAAGAACCUUACCAGGUCUUGACAUCCUCUGACAACCCUAGAGAUAGGGCUUUCCCUUCGGGGACAGAGUGACAGGUGGUGCAUGGUUGUCGUCAGCUCGUGUCGUGAGAUGUUGGGUUAAGUCCCGCAACGAGCGCAACCCUUGAUCUUAGUUGCCAGCAUUCAGUUGGGCACUCUAAGGUGACUGCCGGUGACAAACCGGAGGAAGGUGGGGAUGACGUCAAAUCAUCAUGCCCCUUAUGACCUGGGCUACAC
rnacentral:rRNA from 1 species